UCCUGGUAGUUCAGCUGGCGAAGAAUCUGCCUGCAAUGCAGGAGACCCAGGUUUGAUUCCUGGGUCAGGAA
rnacentral:tRNA from 1 species